CUAGACUGCAGAUAGACCUCAACACAGUCACAGGCCCGGCUGCUGGUGGUACCCACCACUUCCUGCUGCUCCCGAGUGGCCAAGACAUAGAGGGCCGGACUCCAGAACCCUGAUCUUGGAGGCGCGGACUGAGUCUGCGACAGAUGCGUCUCCACACGCCUUCCCCAUCGCACACUUCGUGGAAGUAGCGGCAGGACUCACCAGCUCUGGGGGGAACAACUGGAUGGAAAUCGGAUUUCCUUUCCCCCUCUUCUCUUCAACCCCAAGCUCCGAGCCACAAGAAGGGCAGCUUCUCUUCACCUACCCAAGAAGGGGUGCAUAGGGUCCCAUGAGGGUCCCACAUCCUUUUUUCCCUUCUCUCCGCCUACCUUGGGGCUCAUCUGACUCUAGCUGGGCGCAGUUAUGUCCUCCCCUCUCUCUCCAGACCCAUCCCUAACUUCUCCAAAUAACUCCUCCCGAUCUCCUGCGGCCAAUCCCCCUCACCCGGAGCCCCUCCUCCCGUCCACACAGCCUGGUGAAUUUUUGCAGCUUCCGUCUCUGGCUUCCCCUGACCAUCCUGAUUGCCCCCUCCCUGCUCCUGCCCUCCUGUCUCCUAGGCCCUUGGCCCCCCCCCCCCAGUUCCUGCUGGCUUUCCCACACUAUGUCCCCAGCCUAGGCUUGGGGGACCUCUGAGGCCCCUCUGCCUCCUAGGCCCCUCCCCCAUGGAGUCUGGGGCUAACAAACCUCUCUGUGACCUCACUGUUUGGCCACUGUGACCUGUUCCCUUUAAUCUUGCCCAGGACCCAUCUCUUAGACAGCUCCUGGGUUCUAGCUCAGUUCUAGCCAUCACAUGGCUCAAGGGAUAUGCAUUUUACUGGAGAAAUAAAGUGUGAAUUACU